GGUUCCCAGGCUAGGGGUCCAAUCGGAGCUGUAGCUGCCAGCCUACGCCGGAGCCACAGCAACGCGGGAUCCGAGCCGCGUCUGCAACCUACACCACAGCUCACAGCAACACUGGAUCGUUAACCCACUGAGCAAGGGCAGGGAUCGAACCCGCAACCUCAUGGUUCCUAGUCGGAUUUGUUAACCACUGCGCCACGACGGGAACUCCUCAAUGUAGGAUUUUAAAUAAACAAUGACCAUACAGAAGCCAAAUUAUAUGAGAGAUCUUCUGUUGCUUAAUUGAAUCCUAUGUGCUAAAAAAAAAUACCAUGUGGUUCCCUACAAAGUCCAUCCAGGGCACUAAAUGCAAAGUACAUGGAGUUUCCUACAAGUCCAUUCUGAACAAAAUGAGGACCUGUGCUAUGACUUUUCCUUGAGGAAGAAGAUAUGGGUCAGAGACUUAGCCAGUAUUAUCAUGAGCAAAGCCAUCCCCAAGGUUGGUGACCACCUGUGGUCCACUUCAAGCUCAUCACCUUCUCAUGGUGGCACAGAGAGAUGAGCUGCCCCUCCUGAUUCUAUGUAUUACCUGACUAUCUCUUGGAAACCUCCUGAAUGAGAUGCGCAUGAUUAAUUCAGAUGGCCAAGGAAAGUGUGUGAAUCCAAGCUGCUGUAAACAUUAAAUGAGUUGAGUCAAGAGAACUGAGUUGGUGAACAACCUAAAGACAGACUAAGAGUUCUCAGCAGGUACCAUCCUCCAAGCCAGCUGCUAAUGGAAUCAUUUUGUUGCUUAUCCAGACAUUCUUGAAGCAUCCUAUUAUGACAAAGUUCUCAUACAAGACUAUAAGAUGCACAUGUUAAUUCCAUGGCAAACUUUGUAUGUUAAAAAAUAAAAUUGGACACCAUUCAAAGUCCUCUGCCCCACUGCAAUCAACUAUCAGUCAGUCCUCUCUACCAGCAAAUGUCCUAGGCAUACUAUGAAGUGAGAAGUUUAUUUAUUUAAUUUGUACUGCAUUAAUAAAUGAAUGAGAAAUGAAGGCUUCCCCUUCACUCUCAUCUUGCUUCCUCAGCAUUUUCCUACAUUUAAGCAUCUUAAGAGAGAACUUGAGACUGGAAUUGGGUUUUGAUGUGGAAGAUUGUGAGGAUAUAGGAAGUGGUAUAUAAAGAUCAUAGUGUGUAGUUGAUUGUUGGUGAUUUGACCAGUGCCUCAGAGCAAUAAAUUUUAAUGCUUCAUUUCCUCUGGAAGUUAUGAAUGUGGCUAAUGGAAAAAACUAGUUAAGAAACCAUCUUAACUGAUUCUGUAGAAAAUAGUUGAUUGAAUUGGUGGGUUUCUAUUAAUAGCAAUAGUCAACUGAAAUUAUUAGGGCUGUUGAGGUAAUUGCAGGGACUUUCUUUACUGAGAGAUUAUAACAGAAUCCCAGGAGGUAUUAUUUUCAGUUUUACAAUGUAUGGUGAGAUUGUUCCAAAAGUCGACACCUCUGUAUCCCCAGUGUCUUUGCCCAGUGAACCCCUUGCCUUUGUAGUGUGAGUAGUUGGCUUACAGCUUAAGUUCAAUCCUUCUGAAAACUAUGCUAUUUUACAUGCUCUUGAUGUUACAAAUUAUCUCAUGUGGCUGACUUCAGAGCUUCACUGAAAUCUUCUGUAUGAAAUUGCUAAUUCAUAAGUGCCAAGGGCUGGCUGAGUUCAUGCCUGCUAUGUCAGCUACAUAUUUGAUGCAUAUUUAUUCUCUAUGUAAAUGGUAGAUGCAGAUAAAGUUCUAUCUCCAAAGACUCAUUUUUUUAAAAAACAUAGUUGAUUUACAGUGUUGUGCCAAUUUCAGCAUAGUGACACAGUCACACACACAUACACACACGCACAUGUGUGUGUGUGUGUGUGUGUGUGUGUGUGUGUGUGUGUAUGUAUACAUAGUCUUUUUUUCACACUGUCUCCCAUCAUGUUCUGUCCCAAGAGAGUGGAUGUUGUUCCCUGGGCUGUAUGGUAGGACCCCAUCACGUAUUCAUUCUAAAUGUUAAUAGUUUGCAUCUACCAACCCCAAACCCCUUGUCCAUCCCUCUUCCUUCCCACCCCCUCCUGUUGGCAAUCACAAGUCUGUUCUCUAUAUCUGUGAGUCUAUUUCUUUUUUGUAGAUAUAUUCAGUUGUGCAAUAUUUUAGAUUCUACAUAUAAGUGAUCUCAUAUGGCAUUUGUCUUUCUGUUUUUGAUUUAUUUCACUUAGUAUGAGAAUCUCUAGUUGCUUCGAUGUUGUUGCAAAUGACAUUGUUUUGUUCCUUUUUGUGGCUGAGUAGUAUUCCAUUGUGUAUAUGUACCACAUCUUCUUAAUCCAUUCAUCUGUUGAUGGACAUAUAGGUUGUUUCUAUGCCUUGGCUAUCUUUUUGAAUAAUAGCUUUGUCCAGAUAUGUGCCUAGGAGUGGGAUUGCUGGAUCAUGUGGUAGUUCUAUGUUUAGUUUUUUGAGGAACCUCCAUAAUGUUUUCCAAAGGCUCAUUUUGAUUUAAAAAUGAAUCUGUUCUUUUCUUUUUGGAAAGGCUUACCUCCAACCAGUUUUACCUGACCUCUGGGUUUGAGGUUCCUCAUAGUCCAUGAGAAGGUAACAUGGAGAACCAAACCUUAGAGAUGUCAGUUCUCUUCCUUGAGAUGGGCAUUGCUUUUGUGGUUAUAGCCAGCCGUCAGUAAAACUGUAUGAGGGAGAGUAAAAUACCUCAUUAUGGGUAGAGUCAGGAUUAUCCUGUUUAUGAGCUCAGUUUAAUUAAUUAUUAAAGGCUAAGACAUUUAGAGAAAAUUUUAACAGCAUUCUAUUAAGAUCAGAGUGGCUAAGAAUCAAGUGUAAAUGGUUUUAACUAUUGUGUUGUUUCAAGAACUGUCCAUUUGGGGAGGUAACCUGAGAUAUGAAGUGGAGAGGCCUGCACUAAUGGUCAAAAGACUGGCUUCAGAAUCCUCAUUUAUUCUGUAAAUAAGGCGAUAAAGACAGUUUUGCAAGUCAGUGGUAAGGAAUCCAUAAGCUAUGAGAGUUCCAGACAGAGAGAGGCACUGACUCACUGUAGAUGUCCAAUGAACAUUUGGUUCAAUUAGCUGUCUCAGUCUUCUCAGUCUUCUUUAAAAGAGUUUUUUCUUUUCUUUUCUUUUUUUUUUUUUUUUUUUUUAAAUGGCUGCCCCUGUGGCAUAUGGAUGUUCCCAGGCUGGGGGUUGAAGCGGAGCUGUAGCUGCCCCUUAUGCCACAGCCACAGCAUCAUGGAACCGAGUAGCAUCUUUGGCCUAUGCCACAGCUUGUGGCAAUGACAAAUCCUUAACCCACUGAGCAAAGCCAGGGAUAGAAUCCUCAUCCUCACAGAUACAAUGUCAGCUUUUUAACCCACUGAGGCCACAGCAGGAACUUCUCAACAGAGUUUGUUCAGGGAGUUUCAGUGAGCCGGAAAGUUUCGUAAGAUGCAGUGGUCAUGAUUUGUGAACCCUGGUCUAGGGUAUUCUUUUUUUAGGCUGGAGGAAGACCAUAACACCUGAUCUAGAAGAUUAGAAUUUUAGUCCUGAUCUUUCUUUCUUUUGUUGUGUAAUGUUUGGGCAAGUUCAUACAACCUUUGAGCACUCAGUUUCUUACCUGGGCUAUAGGAGUAAUACCUCAGACAGAUUAUCAGAAUCUGUGUAUUUCCUUAUCUGUAAAAUAAGCACAGUGAUAGUAGCCACCUCAUAAGAUAUUCAGGAGGCUAACAUGAUUCAACACUUGGAAGAUGCUCUAGUAGAGUGCGUGUUGCAUGGUCCGUCUCAAUAAAUGUUAAUUGGAGUGAUUUUUUUACUUCUUCCUAGCCGUCACUUGAAUGAAAUCACCUUUCAUGGAAAUUGGAAUGCUGAGUACACUGUUAAUACAGUGUUAGUGCUUGACAGUUUAAUGGGAAAAAAGAAAAGGAGGGAAAAAAAAAAACAAAACUUCUCUAAUGUUUCCAAUUUUACUCUACUGGAAUUUUCUCCCCCUCUCUCUCUCUCCUUCUCCCUCCUGCCAUGAUGUUUCUUUGUGGCAGAGCAACAACAACAGCUACAGUCUUGACCAAAUUCUGGAAACUAAGGAUGAGAAAGACCAAUGCUCCUGCCUAGGCCUCUUCUGUGCCACUGGGUUUUCUUUGGUGGGAAUACUUCACAUAUUUCCUUGGGAACCGCAUAACUGUGAGCUCAGCAACUUCCUGGGACCAGAGGCCGAAGGCUCCUGCUUCCCUUACAGCAGGCUCGUGUUCUUAGGAACCAAGCAUUUCUUCAUCCUGGUAGAAGGUCAUGGCUUUUCCCUUCCUGUCUUGGCAGCUCCUGCCCAGCCUCAGACCCAGUCAAGACAAGUGGGGCUGCUGUGUGGAGGGCAAUUCCCUGAGCCCCUAAGAAAAUUCAGAGAACCUCUCAGAAGACAAAGCUUUGGAUUGGACUACAGCUUCACCUGUGACUCUUUCCUAGCAAGCCAUGGUGUUGGAUGAAACAAGAAGAUGUGAACUGUAAUCCAGUCACAAAAGCCAAAAGUUGAGAAGAAGUUGCCAUUUCUUCUUCCUGCUUACCACUCAAGGAUCUAUUUCCCCAAAUCCCUGUUAGAGUUAUUGGUAUCCUGGCUUUAUACAUAUUCCAUGGUAUUUGAAUGCAUAAACUGGCGCUCACAGCAUUGGUUUGAAGUUAGUGGUUCUGCCACACUCUAGCUAUAUGACUUAGGCAUGUUAGUUAUCACUCUGAGCCUCAACUUUAUCAUCUGUAUGAUGGGAGUAGUCCUAUCUGUCCUGCCUGCUUGGUCAAAUAAAAUUGCAGCUUUGUAAGUCUGAAACCUUAGGGUCCCAGGAAAGCUUGUAUGUUAUCUAAUUCAGCUUUUGUCUACUGUAGGUGACCAUGCCCUCACUAGCAUCCUGGACAAAUGGUCCUCCAUCUUCAGACUGAACUCGGACUGGCUCGGGAACUGACAUUCUCAGGAGCUUUGAUUGUUAGAAUGUCCUUUCUAGUGCCAGGCUCAACUCUGAAUCCUCUAGUAGCUUUUACUCACUGGUUUCUGUUUCAUCUCUAGAUCCAACAAUGCAUUUAAUAUCAAAGUGUUCUGUGUUUUGAAGAGCACUGUACACCGUCCAUUUAACUGGUUAUCAAGUCAUCUUUUCAGCUCCUUUGCUUGCUCUGCCCUUGGGGUUCUGAUCUGGAUGGACUGCAUGGAACAGGGCAUGGCAUUGGAUGUUCCUGAACAUUCUCAAAUAUCUUUGUGGCAUCAGUUAUGAAACUUUUCCUGAUCCCAAUCUGAUUAUUACUAAUGGUAGAGGUCCCCACACAUAGUGGGUAUGCUCAAAUCCCAGAGCCAUAAUUGAAAAAGCAUGUUUCCUAACACGUUUAAACUAUUUUAACUUGGAAGUAAUUUCCUCCUGUAUUACCUUGAGAUGAACCAAAUUUU
rnacentral:lncRNA from 1 species